rnacentral:lncRNA from 1 species
AAGAUUGUUCCUCAUGAAACUCAUUUCUAGAAGGGGGGAUAAUGUCUUAAAUAUAUAUAGCUAUUGUAGUAAUUACCUAUAUGAUUAAGUAGAAGUAUGUAAAAGUAAAUAAAAAUAGAUUAAUUUCAUAAUAUCUUUUAGAAAAGCUUCUUAGAAGCUUCAUAGGCGAUGUUUUGACUUUAUAUAUAUAUAUAUAUUUGUAGUGGAUUGAUAGGUUAAAAACUUAAUCAACAAGUUAAAUAUCUAUAUAAUAUAUAGAAAUAAAAAUGAAAUCAAUAUAGAUUUCUAAUGUAUUAUACAAAAAUAUUAAUUAAAAUUUGAUCUAUGAUUUAAUUUUUUUAAUUCUAAUUUUUAAAUAUAUGUAUUAUACUAUUUUAUUAUACUAUCUAAGAAUAAUAUUUUUAUAUAGUGGGUAUUUUUAAAAACGAAUUUACGAGAUGCAUAUAUUUUUAAAGGAUAUAAAAUUAAAAUUCAAUCAUAUCAAUAUAUUCAAAAGGAAUCAUGUUUUUAAUGUAUUUUGCAGCAAUUUAUCAUUACUUUUAAAGUCUUUUGCUUUGAAUGGUCUUUUGCAUGAACAAUAGUUGUAUAGAAAUGGGAUCCCAACAAGUGUUGCAUGCAUGGGCAUUGCAGCAACAGUGUCUUGACAUUGUUGUACGAAGGAAAUCCACCUUGUUGCAUGCAAAUUAUGGUGUGGCAACAGAAAGUUGAUCUUGUGUUGUUAUUUAAUGAAAGAUGUGAUUUUCCUUGUGGAGUAACUUUAGAGUGGUCAUCUCAAGUGCACGCGCUCAAAGAUAAAGAUCAUUUGAACAACCAUUGUUGUUUCAUAGACCUUGACGUUACUUACCAAUUCCAUCUUCAACUUUGUAUCUCAUAUGAUCUUUUUGCCUUUCUAUAUUAUAUAAGUCUCACUUUUUUAAUCAAUCACAUUCUUAUGGUCAUUUGAAAUAUGAAUGUAAGUGUUUUCAUUUGUUCUUUGUUUUUCUUUGUUUUUGAAACCAAUUGAAAGGCAAUCCACAAAUCAACAACACUCACAAUCAAGCUUUUUAGCUAGAGCUUCAAAUCUGCUUGGAUAACAAAUACAAACCUUGUUUCAAGAGAGAGAAAAAAAAAAAAUACCCCAUUUAAAUUUACUAUUAAAAUGGAGUAUCAAAUUAACCGCUAAUUGAACAUGUGACUGACUCAUUUUUCAUGAUGACUUUUUCAGUUCAGUUCUUACAAAUCAAAAUAAAUAAAUCAUUUCAGCUGUUAUUUUGAAAUGUAUUUUUACAAAAAUGUUAAGUGUUUGGUGAAUGAUUUAAAUGAUGUUGAUUCAAAUAAAAACAAGUUGAAUUUGUUGAAAAUAAUUACCUUUUGCUGUUCUAUUGUACCAUCAGGAAUUCGAAACAGUUCACUGCUGACUUAUUCAUCAGUGGAUCAAGAAUUCAUCUCGCCAGUUAUUUAGACAUUGUCAAAAAUACUUUAAUUAAAGUUAAUAAAAAUUGAAUGAUAUUAAAGUUUCAUGGAAAUUUAUACUUUAUCACUAUUAUGUAACAUUACUUACAACUUUGAUGAAAGAUUUCAAACAAAUAUUGAUUAGUGCUGGCAAAAUUUCUUAGUCAUUUUUCUUUUUGUUCAUUAUUAUCAUAAUAAGAGUAUGUUUUCCCUAUUUAUCAUUGAACAUGAACAAACUUGUUUACAAUACAAACUUUUUUACAAAUUCUUCAAAAGUAUAAUAUUCAGUGCGGCACUUCAUUUCUUUAAUUUUGUGUAAACUUGGCUACACAAUCUACGAUUGCAGGCAGUAUUCAUGAUAUUAUUUAGAGUUGCAUUCUGUAUUCUAUGCUAAUGAUCCACCAAUAGAUUAAAUAAUAACAUUUUCCAACAAGUGAUGUGAGUGGAACAAACUAAAUUAAAAUUAAAAAUUUCUCCAUUUCUUUUUUAUCGUGACAGAAUAAAAUGGUCUAAGAUCAACUUUACUUGUGAUUCCGAUGAUUGAUUUCACAUUAUGAAAUGGUCACGUGGAAUGAUACACUUCACAAUUAUCUUAAUUCAGUGUUAGGAUGCCACUAUGAUGUUCAGACAGCUAACGAACCCAGCCAUAUUGCAACUUUUGUACCCAGCUAUAACGUAGCCCUCUCACAUUGCGACAUUGGUGCCCAGUCGACCUCACCGAGUUCAAUCUCAGCAAAUUGUGAAAGGAUGCUACUCACCAGAUAAUCGUCAGGUGUAAUAACCGGAGCAGGACACCAUGUCCAAGUUAACUUACAAUAUCAAGGGACUGAAAUGAACGCCCUUUCAACUAAGGCACAAUUGAUGAAACACAUUGAUGAUCGAGCCAUCUGCUGCACAAUUGAAUCCUAAAAAAACGGUUUCACCUGGUUAAACACAUGUUAAAAUAACUGCUCGCGUUCAUCGAAAUUGAUAAGGGCUCCUCCACCAUAAGUACACUCAAUAUUAAAUCUACUCUACAAACACUCGUGGCAAAUAAGAAGCAGACAGUUGAACGACCACAUCCAACUAAAACACAGCCUGACCAGCACCCUCCCCCAAUCCAACCCGUUAACCUCACUCUUCGUCCUCAGUCAUCUCUCUAACAACAUCUUCCGUGAUAACAUUACAAUGUUCGAUCCCAAAAAUGACCAGACAGCAGUACGACGCCAUCUGAUGAAGUGAAGGAUCGCCUUCUUGUCGGGACAUAUGUUCAGCCCCGCAGCGAUUGACCCAGCUGAGAGGACAACCUAAAGCCCCGUUUCACAACCCCAUGCAUCCACUGCAAAUGCACAAUCAUGCACCCAAACGCGACAAAACAUACCAUCCUAUCACUACACACGACGAACCGCAGAUUCAGAAGCUACUCAAAUAUCGGUAAUCAGGAGCUUGCUUCAUUCUGUUGCAGUAUUGAUGUAUUCCUCUGAAUCUCGCACAGCACCUGCACCCUGCUCAAUUCCACUGCCCUAAACAGACAAUGUACACGAUCAAUCGGGGGGACCAUACAGCACCAGACUGUGCACCUACCGGCAAACCUAAAGGAUGCCGCAACCACAUCACAAGUUAACCCCAAAUCGACAUUGCCACCGAUUUUCUCAAUCUUCACUCGAUCCCACACGCACAAACCCCACUCCCAGGAACGACAGUGCAGAAGAGGAGAACUAAUUCAACAGGGGCGAUAAGCAAUGGCGACGAAGCAGCAAUGGAGGGAGAUAUUGUAGUGGAGCCUCCAAACCCUAAUAUCUCCCUUGGCUGCUGAAAACAGCUAUCUCCAGCCUGGAUGGAUGGAUGAAUAUAAUAUGCAUGGAUGAACAUAAUGGUGUGUGUGUGUGGAAGUGAGGAUGGAUGGAGUGGGAAUGACUUCAUGGAUGCAUGAAACUUCGGAAGCGUCCCUGUUCACAUUUUGGCAAGGGAGUUAUUAGGGCUGGCGUUUCCCCACUUUCAACUGAAACUCUACAAUUGUGCUUUAAAGUGAAAAUUUUAAUAUAAUCAAAAUAAAUAAAUACAUAUAUUAUAUAGUAAUUUUAGCAUUUGAACAAAUAAUACACAACGUUGUUCUUUUUGAUUUUCUAAAAAUAGAAACCCAACUUUUUGAAUAAGUAUCUUGGCAAAAUUAAAAUCAAAUGCAAAAACAAAAGAAACAAAGAAGCUGAAAACUAGUUCUUUAGUGGAUAAAAUAAAGAUAAUACCAAUGUAUAACAAGGUGUUGUAAUAACAUUAUGGAUAGAGUGCAUUUAUAUUUAUAUUUAUAUUAUAUGAUAUAAAUCUUUAACUGGAAUUUAGGUCUUACACUACUUGGUGUCUUAUCACAAAGUAAAUACCUUUUCUAAUUCUGUCCUAUCUUCAGUCAGCUAUAUUUUCAUCUAUUGUAAAUAAUAAAUGUUGAGAAGAUGUCAUUUUGAAAUUUAUCUUACUAAGAAUUGUUUUUGACAGAUUUGUUUUCAAAAUCAAUAGAUUUUUUUUAUAUGAUUAUGAACUUGACUGCUAAAUUUAACUUUUAAAAGUUCAGCUCUACUUUUAAACAUACACAUUAUGAAAAUAAAUUAAUAAAUAACACAACCAUCAGUAAGAACUACAAAUAAUAAAAGCAUUUGAAACAAACAUUAUCUUACAAUGAUCAAUAAAAAUAUUUAUUAAAAAAUGGAUGAUAAUAACAACAAUAAUACUAUUAUUUUUUAUUUUAUAAUAUUUCUUAGCAAAAAAAAUUCAAUUAGAAAAUUGAACAUUAACCUGAUUGAAAAUUAAGUAGUACCAUCAGAAAAUUGACACAUAAAUCAAUGUAUAAAACAUUAUAAAUAAUCAUAAAUAUAGCUUUACAUAAAACCAUACAAGAUUUAUUGCAAUUAAAUUGAUAUAAUCUUUUACAAAAACUAAUUAUCUAAAGUUUAUAACCAAUUUUUAGAAUAUAUUUAUAUCAAGUAGUAUGCAAAGAUUAUUUUUUAGUUUUAUAUGACGUAAUAUAAAAAAAUAUUGCAGAUAGAUCCUAAAAUAAGCAUAGGAGUGGUAAUACAAGUUAUAUAUAAUUAUAUAUUAGAAUAAGCAACUUGCUGAUUUAAAGAAGUGGCUAUAAGUAAUAUAUUAAACAAUAUGAUUAUUACUAACAUUAUUAAACAUACUUUUUUUUCUUCAGAAAGAUCUGAUAUAAUAUUUUGUUAAAUUCAACAACAAAUAAUCAAGCAGGAUUAGAUGUCAUGCUUAAGUUUUCUUAAAAAUUCUAAUUAAUAUACUCUCAUAUUUGGUAGUUAACUAUCAUAAUUGAUUCUAAAAGAAGAAAUAUACAAGGGUUAUACAUAAAUUAUAAAAAUAAAAUAUAAUAAAAAAUCUAAGUUUAAGUUGUGGUUUUUGAAUUAUUACUUAAUAAAAAUAUAUAAUAGAAAAAAAAAGAGAAAAGAAAAAGAAAAAGAUAUAUAUAUAUAUAUAUAUAUAUAUACACUUUGUAAUGUUUUAUUUUUAAAAAAAUCCAAUAUAGAUAUGAAGUCUUUUACUAAUUUAAGUAUUUAAGGCCUUCUCUAUAAUAAAGUUCUAUUUACAGCAUGCAUUUCUUAAUUACUUUAUUAACAUUUUUUAUUUAAAACAUAUUUGAGAAAGAUUCUAUACAUUAAUUUUUACAUCACACAAGAUUAUGAAUUUUUUCUUAUAUCUUAUAUUAUACAUAAUAGUAGCUAUUUUAUCCUUUACAUUCCAUACUCUCAAUUUUAAUACAAGACAUGAAAACCACACUUAUAUAUCGGAACAAAGAAUACAAAAUAAAAAUCAUUCCCUUUAUUUCUUGCUCUUUUAUUUACUUAAUUUAUCAUAUUCUUCUAAAUCUUUUGAUUCUCUUUCAUCAAAUAUUUUUACAAUCUACUAGUUUUUCUUGACUUGUAAGUACAUUAAUUUUUGCAUCCUUUUGACUUCCAUGAUUAAUUGAUAUUUUUGUGCAAAUACAAAUUUUCAUUACUACUUUCUAUCUAAUCUAUGUCUAGUCUAUGUUAAAGUCUAUUUCUUUACUUUAGAUUUUCAUUCCAACUAUCUAAAAAAAUAUUAUAUAUAAAUAUUAAUUACAUAAUUUUAUAUAUGACAUAUACUUUUUUAGAACUUUAUAUGUUUAGGAAUAAUACAUGUUUUAAGGAUUUUACAAAUAAUAAUUCUUACAAUCAAUUUCUAAGAAUAAAAGAUUAAAGUAAAAAAUUUAUUAUUGAUACUUGUUUUUAAAAAGAAGAUUAAAUUGAUCUACCUAAAUCUAAACUCAAUCAACCUAACUUCCAUGAUUCAAUUUUUGUGACUACUACUUGUAUUACAAAACAUGAAAACUUAUAAACUCAAUGGACGACAACAAAGAUAAAUCCUAGAUUCUAUUUGAAAGAGAAUGGACUUGACUUUUUUUUGAAAUGCCUUAUGCUAAUUUUCAUUUUGAAACACACUUAGAUAUCUAAUUCUAAUAUAUACAUAUUGUGAAGGCAGAACUUUACCUAAUACCAUCUACUUCUUCCACCUAUUGUUAAAGAUAUAAAUUAUAUAUAACCAAAAUGUAUCAUGGACAUACACAUAUAAACCAAUAAUUACCUAAGUGAUAAGAUAAAAGUAGGUAAAAUUAAUUUAAUUCCAUAAUAUCUUUUAUAGAAGCUUCUUAGAAGCUUUAUAGACAUUGCUUUCGCUUUGUAGGUGUCUAUAAUUGAUUUUUUAGAUUAAAAAAGUAGUCAACAAGUUGGCCAUGUACCACUCAUGUAGGUAGCUUGAAGAACAAGCUAACUAUGUGAUCCACAUGUAAAAAACUUACUUUGUAAGCUAAAGCAUGUAUCUUGCAAAGUCAAUACAUAUUAGAGGUCUUAUAGAAUAUUGUCACAUAGCUCUUAGUUAGAUAGUAUAUAUAGAGGCAAGAAUGGAGCCCUCUUCACUCUUGUCAACUUCUUUCUUGCUUCUAAUCUAGAUUCAAGAGUCUCUACUCUCCUUGUCUUUUGAUAAUAGCCAUUCUAGUUUCUUUUUAAUAUACAUACUUCUGUAUUUUUAUUUUGUUACUUUUCUUUUAACAUAAAUUUUAUAAGUUUAUGCAUCUUCUUCUAGUUCAUGUAUUUGACAAAUUGAUAAGAAUAUACUUAUAAUAUGAAAACUUUGUCCUCUCUUGAUUAAGAGGGAUUUUUUUUUUUUUUUUUUCUUGAUAAAAUGUAAGCAUAUUAAAAGUUGUGGAUUAUCAUCUCCUAAACUAAUAUUGUUUAUAGUAUCUUCUUUGUUCUGAAGUCCCCUCUUCCACUUGACUUGAACAAUAUUAGAUAUUUAUUUUUUAAGUAUUAUCAUAGUAGAGCUUGUUUAAUUGAAGAGUGAAAUGGCACUAAUGUAAGAACAAUUGAAAGAAUUAAUGCUUGCAAUGCAUCAACUCAAUUUACCAAGACAAGGAGCAACAAGAAGAACAUGAAGUGAAGUUAUAGAUAUGAUUAGAGCUGCUUCAACAUCUGCCUUCAAUCAUAUUCUUUUUCUUAUCAUAAAACAUCCUUUCGAUACUAGAAAACCAAUUGUUGCCCUGCUUGAGAAGUUUGAUAGUAUAAGAUCUAAGUUUCAAAGAUUUAUCAAUCAAGUACAACUUAUGAUUGAACUUAAAUUCCAAAGUUAUCCAACUCAAGGAUUACAAGUUAAAUUCAUUGAUAUAUUUCUUUUAAAUUCAGAAUUAAUAUAGUUUUCAUCUUUUUUUGAAUGAUGACAUUCAAUAUUUAAUAAUUUGGAGAUUUUUUGAUAGAAUUUUGAUCUAUAUAUGGAAAAAAUGAUGUAACUUGUGUUGUAAUCAGCAAGAUCCAUAUUUAACAAGAAAAAAAUUGAUCUGUAAUAUUAUAUACUUUACAAUUUUAAUAACUUGCAAUUGGUAUCAAGUGGGAUGAUACUACACUUAUUAGCCAAUUUCUCUAUAGAUUAUAAUAUGAGGUAAAGAAACUGAUGUUCAACUUACUUGAUCCUCAAACAUUGCAUCAAGCAAUUGACUUUGUUGUGAAGUAUGACAAUUGACUUUUCAAAUUUUAUGUAAGAGUUGGACAAGUAGGCCUCAAUAUUACUAUAACUCAAUGGAAACACCAACGCUUCUUCAACACAUACAUUCAAAAGUAGAAGAUAUGCAAAUUGAUGUGGUAUGUUUCAAACUUCUUACUGAGCAAGAAAAGACUCAUCGCUGUCAAAAAGGAUUGUACUUAUAUUAUGGAGAACCUAAACACACUACUCAACAUUGUCCAAAGAAGCGAUACAAUUAUAAAAUGAUGAGUACAAAUAUCAAAAAAGAUAAUAUAUCAAAAAACAAGUUUUUCCAACUACAAUAGAGACUGUGCAACUAAAACCUUAUAUAAUAUCUGAUGAAGGUCCUAUUCUCUCUUUAAAAACCUCUCUUUUUUUAUAUUAAAUAUUAUUUUAGGACCUAUAUAUUACAAAGCCUAUGUCUUGUUAAAUUCAAGAACCUCAACAUAUUUCUUAGAUAAAGAAUUUGCUAAAAGACUUAACAUAUCUUUAAUAAAGAAAACUAAUCAUAUUCUUGUAGAAGUCAUAGAUGGUUGUAUAUUAUCUUCUGGAGAUAUUACUCACAAAAUCCUUCCUAUAAAAGUAAUAAUCAAUAGUUAUAAUAACUUUGUGGUAUUUAAUAUUAUUAGAUCUUAUUCUAAUCCAAUUAUUUCAGGUUUAUUGUGGUUAAAAAAAUACAAUCCUUGAAUAGAUUAGAUUUCUUGUAUUCAUAAUUUUUCUAAAAAUAUAACUAAGAGUAUAAUUAAUCAAGUAAAAAAUCAUGCAUAUAGUAGAAUUAAACGUAUAUUUAUAGGUACAAAAGCUUUUUUGUAUGUUGCAAAAAAAAAGAUCACCUUGUGUCAUUUAUAUCAAAUCUGUUUCUACAGGUGCAAAGACUUUAAGUCGCAUUCUAAGCCAAUAUCAAGAUUUUUAAGAUGUAUUUGAAAAAAAAAAUGUAGAUACUUUUCUAAAACUUGUCCUUAUAUCUGUUCAAUUAACCUUCAAGAAAGAACACAACUACCAUUUAGACCAAUGUAUAAUUUCUUGCAUAAUGAGUUGGCUGAACUCAAAGAGUACAUUGAAGAGAAUCUAUCCAAGAACUUCAUAUGUCAUUCUAAAUCUCCAGUAGGAGCUUCAAUUUUAUUUAUGAAGAAAAAAGAUAAAUCAUUGCAGAUAAGUAUUGAUUAUUGAAGACUCAAUAAGAUCACCAUCAAGAAUAUAUAUUCAUAUUUUUUAAUAUCUAGACUAUUUGAUCAGUUGAAUCAAGUUAAAAUCUAUGCAAAAAUAGAUCUAUAGGGAGUAUACAAUCUAGUAUGCAUCGAAGAAGGAGAUAAAUUGAAGGCUGUAUUUUGAACCAGGUACAGCCUUUUUGAAUAUAAUAUCAUGCCUUUUAGACUUAUAAAUAUACCAACUGCUUUUCAACAUCUUAUGAAUGAUAUUUUUUGAAAGUUUUAGAUAAUUUUGUUGUCUAUUAUCUUAAUGACAUCUUAAUCUAUUCUAAAAAAAUAAAAGAACAUGAAUUUUAUAUUUGUCAUGUAUUACAAAAAUUAAGAGAUGCACGACUCUAUACCAAGAUAGAAAAGUGUGUAUUCUACACUACUCAAGUUGACUUCUUGGAUUACAUCAUUUCAAACAAUGGACUUAUUAUGGAUCCUAAAAAUAUUCAAACUAUUAUAGAUUUAAAGAUCUCAAAUAUGGUCUAAGAUGUCGAAUUUUUUUUCGGAUUUGCCAACUACUAUCAGAUCUUCAUUAAGGACUUCUCUCAAAUUACAGCUCCAUUGAUAUGUUUGACUUAUAAAGACAAACUUCAAUAGAAUCAAGAAACGAAAGUAGCAUUUGAAGCUUUAAAAAUAGCCUUUGUUUUUAUACUAGUCUUAUAUUGUGUUGACUUUUUUAAGACACUCUUUAUAAAAACAAAUACAUCAAACUUUGCUUUAAGUGUUAUAUUAUGACAAAUGGAAAUAGAUGAUAAAUUUAAUCCAGUAGCUUUUCAUUCUAAGAAAUUUUCAGCAAUUGAGAUUAAUUAUGAGAUCCAUGAUAAAGAACUUCUUGCAAUUAUGGAUUCUUUUCAAGAAUGACAUCAUUAUUUAGAAGGCACUUCUACUCCUAUCACCUUCUAUAUAGAUCAUAAAAACGUCAAGUAUUUCAUAUCAAUUCAUAUUUUAAAUUACUGACAAGCUUGUUGGAGCAUGUCUUUGUCAAGAUUUGAAUUCAAUAUCACUUAUCGGCUAAGAAAACAACAAGAUUUAUUCAAUGUCCUUUCUAAACAUUCUUAUCUUGCACCUAAAGAAAGAGAUGCAGCUUUUGAUCAAUAAAGCAUAAUUUUAUUGAAGCCAAAAUAAUUUCAUCUUCAAAUAGUGAAAUCAAUAUUGAUUGUUGAUUCAACUUUCUCAAACAAAUUCAAUCUAAUAUGUCCUUUAAUCUUCUUUUUUAUGAUAUUAAAAGUACUUCUUUUAAGUCUUGUGAUACUUUUAAGUUCAAGUUCAAGAAUAAUCUACUUUAUUUUGUAGGAUACCUAUAUGUGCCAGAAAGAAAAGCACAUUUACAUAUUCUUCAAGUACGUCACAACUUUCCAACAUCAUGAUAUUUUGGAUACAAUAAGAUUUUGGAGCUAAUAUCUAGAGAUUUUUGGUGGCUGCAAAUAUGAAAGGUUGUAAAAGACUUUGUUCAAUCAUAGGACAUUUUUUCAAGGCCAAAAACUCCUGAGCAUCAACCUUAUGGACUUCUUUAGUCAUUACUUAUUUCAAAACAACUAUGGUCUUUUAUUUCUAUGGAUUUCAUUACAAAUCUUUCAAUCUUAAGAUCGUGUGAUUUUAUAUUUGUCAUAGUAGAUCAUUUUAUCAAAAUGGCAUAAUUUGUACUAUACACAAUUUCUAUCAUAGGUGAUGAAACUACCAAGCCUAUCCUCGAUAAUACCUAUGAAUAUUAGAGAUUUUCAAAAGAUAUUAUAUUGGAUAAAGCAUCUCAAUUUAUUUUAAGUUUUUAGAAAAUUCUUUUUAAGAUUCUAAAGAUAGACAUAAAGCUUUUUUUGGCCUUUUAUCUUCAAAUUGAUGGAUAGACAAAGCAUUGUCAUGAUGUAAAUACAUUCAUAUAUAGAAACCUUGCUUGACUUACUUUUCUUUGAACUUUUAUUAAGUUCUUUUUUCUUCUUACGAAUCUAAUUUUUCUAUAGUUUUGGAGAAAUUUUAUCACUUUUUUCUUGAAAGUGAUAAAAAAUUUAGCCAAAAUUUUAUUUUUUCUUUAACCUUAACUUUAUCUUUGGUUUAGCCUAGAAAACUUCUUUUAUUCCUUUUACUUUCUUUCUAAUCUUUGAUUUUAGUAGAUUUAGAGUUAUAUUUAUAGAUGUAAGAAGAAUUUUGACUUUGAGGUUGUAUGUAGGUUUUUAUUAAAGAUAAAUGGAAGUUUGGAUAAUACUAAUUGGUUGCCAUUAAUAGUAUUGACUUGGAAGAUUAGAUUUGGUAUUUGUUUAACUUUAAAGUAUUAGUUUUUGACUUAGACUUUGAAGACCUUAGCUACGAUUUCUUAAGCGAGCUCAAAAGUAAGGAAGAAGGAUUGUUUUGCAAGUUAAAAAAGAGUGUUCAAAGAAAGGAACUUCUUUGCAUGAAUUUAGAUGAAAAAUGCAUGAAUUGGAGCUUGAAUGAGAGAAUUAUGCUUGUUUAAACUUAAUCUACUAAUUUAAUAUAUAUUGUCACUUUUUCAUGCAUAUUAGGCAUUUUAAGAUAUUAAUAAGAAAUUAGAGAAUUGGAUUAGAAAUUACACUUUAAGCUAAAAAUUUCACAUCCAAAGAUUGAUAGAAUUGAAUCUAGAAUGAGUCAGAUAUGGUUGGUUAAAACUAACAAAUUAAAACUAGAAUUUUGAAGAAAUUAGAGAAAUAGAGGGUUUUGAUUUUAAGCUAGAACUUCAGCUUCAAGAUAAAUUUGAAGCUUAUUUUUUGUGUACAUAUUACUUAUGAUAUAAAAAGCUUAUGUUUAAAAUAUCAUGGCAAUUGAAACUCUGACUUGAGAGAAAUGGUGAAAUUUGUUCUUAGGUAUUUAGAAUUUUGACUUUCAAAGAUACCUACUACGAUUUUGGUAAUAUUAGAUGAUUGGUAACAAAUUUGUAGCUAAAAAUUUGUAUAAUGAUAUUCAAAGAUGUAAGUUUUGUAUUUCCAAAUUUUGAACUUAUUUAAAUAGCUGGAUCUAUGGAUAUGAAUUUUCAAGUUUCUAGUUUGGUUUUAACUUUGAAAAGUACCUUCUAUGGUUUUGGUGAUAUCAGACAAUUGAUAACAAAUUAUAGCUAAGAAUUUGUGUGAUAAUGAUCAAAGGUGUAAAUUCUAUACUCCUAAUAUUUAAGCUUAUUUGAAUAGCUAGAUCUUGUAUUAUAAAUUUUCAAGCUUCAAGUUUGUUGGUUUAUUACAAACAUAGUUUUGUAAAUACUCAAAUGAGAAUUUAAGAAGGUUUUGUAUAUAUUGGAUCUAUCUUGAAUGCAAAGAGGGACCUUACAUCUAUUCAAAGUAGACUCUUACUAUAACAGAGUGUAAAUCAAGUUUUAGAACAAUAAUUAAGGUAUACCAUCAAUUAUCAAUAAGAUAAUUGGAGAACCCUCUUGCCAUUAAUAAAAUUUACUUUUAAUAACAUGAUACAUUCUUCUAUGCAACAAACACCUUUUUUUUCCAAUUAUGGUUAUCAUCCAUGAUUUGAUACUUUUGACUUUUCAAAAGUUGAUAAUCUUGUGGCAAAAGGUUUGACAAAUUGUUUGUCAAAGCUACAUGCAACAAUGAAGGUGCAAUUAAAAGAAGCUCAAGAAUGGCAAAAGAUCAAUACGAAUGCCUAUGAAAAGAAAUAACUAUAAUUCAAUGUAGGUGACAAGGUAUAGUUGUUUUGUUGUAAUAUCAAGACUACUCGUUCUUGUGAUAAGUUGGACUACUAUAGGUUUAGACCUUUUUCUAUUUGUAGAUAAAUCAAUCCAGUUGUUUAUUGAUUAUAUCUACCAGAGGCAAUGAAGAUUCAUUAUAUCUUUCAUAUAUCUCUUCUUGAACCAUACAAGACAGUGAACAUGUCAAUAAGAAAAUAAGCUUCACCUCCUUCCAUAGAAGUGGACAAUAAUGAAGAGUUCAAAGUAGAAGAAGUUCUAGACUCAAAGUGGCAUCAAAAUAAAUUAGAAUAUCUUGUUCAUUGACAUGAAUAUGAUAAUAGUAAAUGCACAUAAGAGCUAGUAAAAAAUCUUACAAAUACAGCAAAGGCGAUGGAGGCUUUUCAUCGACAACAUCCAUCAAAACCAAGAUGAAGAAUAGUAAGUCUUUGAUAUAAUAAAAACAAGGUCUAAAAAAGAUUGCAUUCUACUUUUUACCUUUAUUUGUGGUUUUUGUAUAUUUUUGAUAUUAAAAAAAUGAAGAACUAUAGAAUAGGUAAAUAAACUUUGUAGUAAGUUAUUGGUUGGUUAUUGACAAUCUUGAAAAUUAGAUUGAUGGUUAGGCAGUUUAGUUGGUUAGAGUAGGUUGUUAGUAGAAUAAAUGGUUAAGAAUUCAAAGGAUCAUAACCUUUGACAUCCGCUGGCCGACAGGUCAUCUUUUUGGUAGGAUAAAUAGGUUGAAGAAAGUAAGCCGAGGGCCAGACUGUGAGAGUCGUAAGCCGGGGUAAGCUUGGUGCUCCUUCUUUGUUUUCUUUAUUAUUUGCUAAUGAAGAAUUGUGAUUGAGAGAAAUAUUGUUGAAUUGAUAAUCGUAGAAUGGAUUAUGGAUUGAAUUAAGAUAGAAGUAGUAAGCCUCGAUGUUUUGUAGUUUGAUAAUUGAUUUCAGAUAGCAAGAGUACAAUCAAUUGUGAUACUAACAGACCCAAUUUAUAUAACCAAUCUUUCCCCGUGUUCGAACCCACCUCUAUUAAUUCAAUUGCUUUGGUCUAUUGAAGCUUGAACUCAACGAGAACAACAUUUUGGCACCGCUGCUUGAAAAAUGAAAACAAUAUGAAAUAUUAGAAAUUGAUUGUAUGGAAGAUGGAAUUAUAUGUUGAAUGAGAACGUGAGAAGAACCAGUUUUAGGGUUAUAAAUAUGUGAGUUAUAAUUCAAGGCAGUAUUAAUUUUAUAAAGAAGAAUGAAAUAUUAUGAGUAAUAAUCAUGGAAGAGAGGAUUAUCAAAGAAUAUAUCGACAAAUAAAAGAAAGACAAGAGCGAUUACACAUAAGAAAUCUCCUACAAAAAUGACAAAAAAGAAUUGCAUGUCCAAGAAAAACCAAAGGAAGAAAAAUUUAGAUUCAAAUAGUAAAGAGACCAGUAAUAACACCAAUGGUCAGGGGAGUGCCAGAAGUACCAAUUGCAGUACAAAUGGGAGCAGUAGGAGACCAAACUACAAUUAUGGCACCAUUACCUACAUUUAGUGGUUGACCGAGCUCUGAUCUCGAUCACCAUAUAUCUCAAUUCUCGACAUCUUGCGUGGCUAAUAAUGGUAGAACUGAAAACAUUUGAUUGAGAUGGUUGCCAACAACUUUAAAAGAUACAGCUUUUGAAUGGUAUAUUCGGCAACCAGUGGGUAGAUUUUCUAAUUGCAAGGCCUUGAGGAAUACCUUCCUAAUCUAUUUUAGACCAAUUGAAUUUGAAGAUUGGCUUUGAGAAAGUUUUAUGAAUAGCAGGAUGUUUAUGGGGAAACCCGUAGAGUCUUAUUAUGGCUAAAUCAUGGAUAUACUUCAUAAAUGGUCAAAUAAUCAAAUGCUAGAUGUGUUUAUAUUAUCGAUAUUAAUUAAUAAUUUGUAUCCACCAAAAUUAAAAAUGUUUGUAAAAGAGGCUCAACUAGCUAUGGUAGAGGCAUCAUUGGCACGAGCAAAAGUAUAGAAAGAAUGUCAUUAUGACUAAUUGUUAACAGUGGGCGCCACGAUGAUUCUAAGUUCUGAAAGUCAACAAAUACAACCGGAAAAUGUGUCAAUGGGUAAUUAUCUACAAAUGGCUGUCUUCAAUGUGAAGAAUGUUAUGUUGUAACAACCAAUUAAUGCUACACCACUCCAAGCAAUAGCGCCAAUAAUGAUGACACCUUAUUUUACAUCGCCAACCUAUCAACAAUCAGAGUUGUUUACAAAUGCGACUAUUAAAGAUCCAAAUGAAGCCUUGUUAUUAAAUCUAACAAAGAAGAUGGAAGAAUUGGCCGUGAAUUUGGCUAAAGACAAGGAAAAAUAACAUAAGCCUUCUAAUACGAGACCUAAUGUAUGAUGUAAUAAUUGUAAUGAACAAGGUCAUUUUGAUACGGAAUGUCCAUCACCUAGACAAACGUGUGUUGAAUGUACAUUUUAUGGAAGAAAGCAUCCUAUCCAAAACUAUUGGCAUUUACAAAGGCAACAACAAUUCAGUAAUCAGACCAUGAUCCCAUCGACUCAGUGAGAAGUCAAUCAAGUUCAAAUAAAAAAUACGUAUGGAUGGAAUAGAAAUCGAUCUAAUCAACAAAAUCGAACAUUCAAUAAUUUUUAAAGUUCCAAUUUUAAUCAAGGGUCUGCAUCAAACCUUCAAAACUACGGAAAAGAGCAACAAAGGUAUCAGCAAUAUGCUCCACUGGUGUCAUCGAAUCAAGUAUCCUCUGUACAAACGAAACAAUUAAGAUCAUUUUUUAAUCCUACAUGGAAUAAGCCUAGUAAGUAUAUACCAGUGGAGACACCUAAUAUGCCAGAUGGGGGUGCAAGAAGACCACUUCGUUGUUUCCAUUGCAGACAGAUUGGCCAUUAUGCUAGUGAAUGUCUCAAUCCAAGAACCAGUGACAAUUAUGCGCCAAUAUGUGCAAAUUACAAGCAGUCAGGACAUACUUAUCAGCAAUGUAAUCCUUCAUUCAAUUUUAAUAAUCGAGAUCAGCACAUCCAAAGUCAAGGAAAAAUGGAGGAGAUAAAUCAAGGUCCUCAAGAUUCACCAGUUCAUGGUGUAGAAGUAGUCCAAGCUAUCCAUACAAGAAGUCAGCAAAUAGAGAAAGGACCAAUUUAACAUUUGGGUGAUCCUAAAGCAAAGGGCCAAUUGGACCCAAUUACGGGGCCAUCCAAUCUAAGUCCUGACAUAGGCCCUUUAUUCAAUAUAAGACCUGAAUUGGUUGUGCAUCCUAAUGAAGUACCGAUUAUAGAGGCUUUGGUUCCAUUUCAAGCUGUUCUAUUCUCUACAUAAUUUCGAAAAACAUCCUUUCCAUUGAAAGAUCCUCUAAGAGGCAUGAAUUCCAAGGAAUCAAUAUUAGCCCAAUUAGGAGAACAAUCUUACCCGUUGAAAGAAACAAUUUUAUAAGCUCCGUCAAAUUUAGUUCCAGUAGCUUUAUCAAUUUCUAAUAUAGAAAAAAUCAAUUUACUUGCAUUGGUAUCUAGGACUGAGAAGAAGUAAUGGACAUUGGAAAUUACCACUAUUAUAGAACCAUAUGAUAUUCUAAAAGAUUUGGACACUAUACAACCCACAAUCUCUAUGAAGCAACUAUUGGCGGUAGCACCUAAGUGCCAAACUAUCUUGAAUUCUUCAUUAAUUCGUCGCAGAUCUUAAAAUAAAGAAAUCCAAAAAGUAAGUUUGAAUCUCGAUCCGGGUGCACCUACGAUUGAUGUCUCAAUUGAUGGAGUGUUAUUAUCAUGAGUGCAGGUAGACGAAGGAUCUAGUAUAAAUCUUAUGAAUGUUGCUAUAAUAGAGGAGCUAGGUUUGGAUCACUUAUUGCCUAGUACAGUGGUUUUGAGAAUGUCUGACUCUAGUCGAGUUAAACCUAUGGAUAUUUUACGAAGUGUUGAUACAAUAAUUGUAGGGAUUACCUACAAAAUUGAUUAUAUUAUUUUUUGAUUGCAAAGCUCUAUAUUAUCAUACCCAAUUUUAUUGGGGCGACCGUGGUUGUAUCAAGCUAAAGCUCAAAAUGACUGGCGCCGUAGUACAUUAAUAAUUCAAAAAGGUAAUGAUAAAAUUGUGCUUCAAAUAUACUCUGUCCAAUAUCACAAAGAAACUCAAGUUGCUAGUUUAGAAUUCAUGUCGGAUUGUAAAGAUGAGUCUAUAGAAGAAGAAAUUGGUGCACCUGUCCCAAUUUAUGCUGAUACAAGGCAAGUUCUCGAGCACACUAGAAUGAACUACCAAUGUAGGGAAUCGAGAGAGUACUUAGUUUGUCCAAAUGUUAUUGAUAAUUUUGAUCAUAUGAUUAUAUAUUGAAUGAAUAGACGGGAUGUUAAUCACGUUAGUGCUAUGGAACUGAAGUUAAAAAGUUCUAAUGUGUCGGAUUUUAUGAAAGAUUCUGGAAUUGAGCAGAACAUCAAUCUAGAGACACUUGAAAUUCCACGAUGUCAACCAAUUAAUUUAGGUACAGGAGAGACUUUCCAAAUCAUUCAGAUUUACAACGAUAUAAAAGACAAGAAAAAAGAAAUUUGUGUGGAUUACUUUUUAAUGCAUAAAAUUAUUUUUGCAUGUUUGUACAUGGAUUUGAAAGGAAUUUCAGCUGAAAUUUGUGAGCAUUGAAUUAUAUUGGAGGAAAACGCUAGACUAGUAUGCCAAAGACAACAUCCUCUUAAUCCAAAAUACUCACUUAUGAUAAAAGAAGAACUGGAUAAACUCUUGGAGGUUGGAUUUAUUUAUCCAGUUCUUUUUGGUGAAUGGGUUUCAACAAUUGUUAUAGUACCAAAAAAGAAUGGAAAAGUCCAUAUUUUUCAAGAUUUCCGAAAAUGAAAUGUGGCUAUCAAAAAGGAUUAUUUUUCUUUACCAUUCACGGAUAGUAUAUUGGAUGCCGCCGUUGGACAUGAAUGUUAUUCAUUUCUUGACGGAUUCUCCGGUAUUAAUCAACUUAAGAUUGAAAAAGAAGACCAGUUAAAAACUACUUUUCUACGGAUUGGGGGACCUUUGUUUAUAAGGUUAUGUUGUUUGGGCUUUGUAAUGCUUCAGCUAUAUUUCAAAGGAUAAUGACGUAAGCAUUUCAGGAUUAUCUACGAAUUUUAAUGAUAAUAUUUCUAGAUGACUUUUGUACAUUUAAUACAAGAGCCAAGUAUUUAGAAUGUCUAGGUUAAUAUUUGAAUCAAUGUACCAAAUAUGGAAUUUCUUUAAAUUCAAAAAAAUACCAAUUUGGUGUGCCUUCUAGUAAACUAUUGGAUCAUAUAGUUUUGAUGGCAAGUAUUGCUACAAAUCUAGAUAAAAUAAAGAUUAUAAUAGAAUUAAAGCAACCAGACACUGUUACGGGUAUUCGAGCAUUUGUCGACCAUGUUAGUUAUUAUCGGUGAUUUAUCUAUCUAUUUGUAGUUAUAUGCCUUUCCUUAACAAAUCUCUUGAAGAAACCACCAACCGAUCGGACCAGUCCAUUUUGAAUAAAGGAAUGUACAAUUACAUUCGAAACAUUGAAAUAGAAAUUGGUUUCAGCACCAAUAUUGGUGGCACCUUGUUGGACAAAACCAUUCCAAGUUUAUAUGGAUGCAUCUAAUGUCGCAAUUGGUUCUGUGCUAAGCUAGAAAGAUGACCGAGGUUUUGAUCAUCCUAUUUAUUAUACAAGUCAUUAAUUGGUAAUAGCUGAAAGAAAUUAUAAAACAACCGAAAGUGAAGCAUUGAGAAUGAUUUAUUCCAUACAAAAGUUUCGACAUUAUCUUCUUGGUUAUAAAUUUGUUUUCCAUGUCGACGAUGAUACUUUAAAAUAUAUGAUUAAUAAGCCUCAAUUGAGUGGUCAUAUUACACAAUGGGUUCUACUCUUGCAAGAAUUUGACUUUACUAUUUAGGUAAGACCAAAGAAAUUACAUUCCAAUGUGGACCAUUUAUCUCGGUUAUCCAAUAUAUUGGGUAAUGAAUCCAUUAAUGAUGUACUACCCGAUGCGGAACUGUUUACAAUAGAUAUAAUUACUUCGAAGUAUAGUGAAAUAAUUCAAUACUUGACAUUUCAAACCUUCCCACCUAAUUUUAUUGAAAAGCUUAAAUGACGUUUAAUAUUAAAAUGUGCACCUUAUACAAUGAUUGGUGAAGCUUUAUAUAAACAAGGCAAGGAUAGAGUUUGGAGAUGCUGUAUUUAUCAGACUGAAGUUCGUAUUAUAUUGGAAGGUUGUCACUUGGACAGUUGUAGUCGACAUUUUGUGGGGGACAGCACAGCUCGUAAACCUUUACAGGCUGGUUAUUGGUGGCUAAUAAUAUUUGUACAUGCCCACCAAUUCAUCCGUCAUUGUAACCCAUGUCAGAGAACGGAUCAACCUAUUAGAACUUUAGCAAUGCCAUUGGUACCAAUUUUGGCUCAAGCACCUUUUGAAAAAUGGAGAAUUGAUUUUGUCAAACCAAUUGCAUCAACCUCGAGAAAUAGACAAAAAUAGUAUAUAUUGAUAGCCAUGGAUUACGUAACAAAAUAGACUGAAGUCAUAGAUACGAUAACCGAUAGUACAAAUAUAGUAGCAACCUUUUUGUAUAAAAAUAUUAUUACAUAGUUUGAUUGUCCACAAGAAUUGGUUAGUGAUCGAGGAACUUAUUUUAUAAAUAGUACAUUCGAAGCAUUUCAAAUUUACAUUCUCCAAAAGUUUGAGCCAAAAAUUUCAAAUUCAAUGGCAUGGACCAUAUUGAGUUAUUGAAGGAUUUCCAAAUGGUUCAGUACAAUUUGAAGAUUUUAUGGAUAUUAAAUUUAUGACACGGAUCAAUGGUAAUUGGCUUAAACUUUACCAUACAUAAAUCUGGUGUCGGAGUAGAGAGAGUUUGCCUCAAGAAAACACUAGGCUUCUAGCUGUCACUAAUUAUUCAAUCAAACUUGAAAAUAAAGGAAGCCCUAAGUUUAUAUAUAAUUUUUUUCUUUUGAUUAAUUACACCUAAUAUACAAUCCUCAAGUAAUCCACAACUUCCAAAAUAUGAUAAAAUCUUCUAAAACCUUGUUUAUUCUUAUGUGGAGAUUUUUCCAAACUUCAACACCUCAUAUCUCCUAAUCUGACCGUCCAAAAAAAUUCAAAUUUUACAUGACGUACUGAUGUAUUCUUAUUAACUUCUACAACAAAUUUCAACUACAAAUUCAUUGCAGAACUUGAGAUAUCGUAAAAACCCUGACAGUCGCUACAAACCCUUAUCUUUAUACAUCUACAUGCAAUUUUCUUCAUAUCUCACAAAAUAUAAGCUCAAAUGCCACGAAGUUUAUUUGUAUAGCUUUUUAACACAAAAAUUUACAUUCUCCAAAAGUUUGAGCCAAAAAUUUAUCCGAAUACUCAAGUUAUGGCUCCAACCAUUACUACAAACAAAACCGCUUACUUACUACCUUUGAUUUGGAAGCGCCGCCUUCAACUCCUUACAACUCCUUCAUAUGAACUCCAAAAGCAAUAAUUCCUUCAUGAAAGAUGUAGGCCUUGAAAUCGCCGUUCUAAUCACACUUUUCAACCUUCAAAAGCUGAUGUAAAACUCCUCGUACUCUCAAAAGAGUAACAGUAUACCUUAAAUAAACACCUUAACUUCAAAUGGCUAUAACUUUUUCACACUAACUCCAAAUCUUCUAAUUUUUGUAUAAAAAUUAUACCCCAAAUCCUAAACUUUACAACUUUAGCUUGUAAUCUCCAAAUGCCCUCGAAAGAGGAACCCUAAUCCCUAAUAAGGCCUCGGACAGCCUCCUUGAAGCCCAUUGGACAUAGUAUUCGACCAAUAGGGAUGAAGUUCUCCAUUUCUUGCCUUCAUCCAACCAUGCUUUGCUUUUAUCCCUCCCAAUUAGCCUCCUAUUAGUUUAGAUUUUCAUCCUUAGGCUUCUACCUUCUCCCAAGGCUUCAUACUAAAUAUUUAGGUCUUAUAUAUAUAUAUAUAUAUAUAUAUAUAAAAUUUAAUGUCAAAAUCAAAAGAAGUAAAGAAACAAAGUAAAGUUUCUUAUACCAACUCCUUUUAAUUUAAUCUACUAGCCAUUCUAAUACACAUUUAGAUUUAUUAACAUAUAAUAUGUUUUAGCUAAUUUUUACAUACUGUAAGUAUUUACAGUACGACACCAAGACGGGUUCUCUGUUACAAAAGAGAAAGUCGACCCAAUUGAUUGGACCAUAGUAAGAAAUAGGAGGGAGGCUCUUGACAAGCAUCGUGUUUUCUUUUGUGGUUAAGGAGAAGAUAGCAAACAUGGUAUCUAAGACAUUUGGAUGAAAAACCAUUGAACACCGAAGCAAAUGAUGAAGAUGUAAAGAGGAGAGGGUCACCAAUUCAAAGGAUGGUAAGCCAACACCAUUGACUGAAGAAGCCAAUGCUGCUACGUCUUUAUAAGUUGAGGCUAAAUAAUGUUUACGAGGACAUUGUACAAUUAAGAGUGGAGCUAUAUAGAAUAAGUAAAUAAACUUUGUAGUAAGUUAUUGGUUGGUUAUUGAUAACCUUGAGAAUUAGACUGAUGAUUAGGCAGUUUAGUUAGUAAUACUAGGUUGUUAGUGGAAUAACUGGUUAAGAAUUCAAAGGGUCAUAACCUUUAGAACCUAUUGGCCAACAGAUCAUCUUAUUGAUAGGACAAAUAGGUUGAGGAAAGUAAGCCGAGGGCCAGACUGUGAGAGUCAUAAGCCAGGGUAAGCUUGGUGCUACCUCUUUGUUUUCUUUAUUAUUUGCUUAUGAAGAAUUGUGAUUGAGAGAAAUAUUAUUGAAUUGAUAAUCGUAGAAUGGAUUAUGGAUUGAAUUAAGAUGGAAGUAGUAAGCCUUGAUGUUUUGUAGUUUGAUAAUUGAUUUCAGAUAGCCAUAGUACAGUCAAUUGUGAUACUAACAGAUCCAAUUCAUGUAACCAGUCUUUUCCCAUGUUCAAACCCACCUCUAUUAGUUCAAUUUCUUUGGUCUACUUAAGCUUGAAUGCAACGAGAACAACAAGAACCAAAAACUAGCAGAUUUGACUCAAGAACUUUUGUUUGUUGACUUGUCAGAUAAGAUAUUACAAGUAUCACAACCUUCAAGAUGAUGUAAUUGAGAUGAAGAUCCUUAUGAACAACAUAUUCUUCCUUGAAUAGAUGGUAAGAUAUAAUGCGUUAGGUAUCACGACAGUGGAAGAAACUUCCAAUGUUUAGUAAUUUUAUUAGAGGUAGGAACAACUCUUGACGGUAUUCCAUUUGAAGAAAAUUAUGAAGGCCUCAACAACGAUCAAAUAAUUGGGUAGUCUUUUUGUUCUAAUAUAGAAUACUAUCAAUGGUUGAAAGGCCCUAUUAACCAUCUUCAAAGAGAACAAAUAUCAAAGUAUGUAGCAAAUAUAAUUUGUCACAUCUUGAAUUUCUUCAACAUAUGAUGACCAUUCUUUAUGGAACCUGUCUCUUGAA